rnacentral:rRNA from 1 species
GACGGAGGGUGCAAGCGUUGUUCGGAAUUACUGGGCGUAAAGGGCUCGUAGGCGGCCAACUAAGUCAUACGUGAAAUCCCUCGGCUUAACCGGGGAACUGCGUCUGAUACUGGAUGGCUUGAGUUCGGGAGAGGGAUGCGGAAUUCCAGGUGUAGCGGUGAAAUGCGUAGAGAUGUGGAGGAACACCAGUGGCGAAGGCGACUCUUUGGCCUGUAACUGACGCUGAGGCGCGAAAGCGUGGGGAGCAAACAGG